rnacentral:rRNA from 1 species
UAACGCGUGGGUAACCUGCCCUAUACACAUGGAUAACAUACUGAAAAGUUUACUAAUACAUGAUAAUAUAUAUUUACGGCAUCGUAGAUAUAUCAAAGUGUUAGCGGUAUAGGAUGGACCCGCGUCUGAUUAGCUAGUUGGUGAGAUAACUGCCCACCAAGGCGACGAUCAGUAGCCGACCUGAGAGGGUGAUCGGCCACAUUGGAACUGAGACACGGUCCAAAAUCCUACGGGAGGCAGCAGCG